rnacentral:lncRNA from 1 species
GUUAGUUUGCGACCCCAUACUAAACAUGUAGUAAAUUGGUCAAAUUAAUUUACUAAUCAAGGUUAGCAUCUAACAAUAUUUCUUAACAAUUGGAUAAUAUAAAAUAUAUAAUUACUCUUAAGAGCUUGCUAAAGAAUAAUUUAAUAUUUUCUUCCGUCAUUAUUGCUCCGGAUGAAUAUUAAAAUAUGAUUUAACUAUCAAAUUCUAAUAGGUAACCAACUAUAUUUCAUAUCAAUUAUAAUUGACUAAUGAAUGAUAUAAGAAAUUCGUUUCUUCUUUCAUUCAAUUGCUCUGACCAAGAUGUUAAUGUAGUCCUUAUAAUAAAUGAUAACAUAAAACUCAAAUUUAUUACCAAAGUUGACAUGUUCUAUCUUGAUCAAUCACUAAUUCUACAAGUGAUGAGUAUCGAAUCCACCAAGAAUAAAUUCAUAUUCUAACAACAAAUUAAGAAUUGUAGCAGUGGUAAAUAGAGUUGAAUCCACAGAGAAUUGAGAACCAAUAUUCUUCUAUGGCCAGUGAUAAAAGUAAAAGCUGGGGGUUUUUUAUUUUAGGACAAAGUGAUUAAAUAAAAUAACAAAACUAUAAGGCAAUUAAAAAAGAAAAUAAUUAAGCAAAAUAUUGUAGAAAAGAUCAGUUUUGAGAGAGCUCUAGUUAGAGAAGUAAUAUCGGUUUCAACUUGCAGGAUUGAUUGUUGAUGCAAAGAUAAUUCAUAUUGACUCUCAAUAAACUAUUCCUAAUUGUUGGAGAUGCUCCUAACAAUCAAUCUUUCCUUAAUUCUAAGUUAACCAAGAGAAUGUUGGUUAACCCUUGCUAAUAAACAAUCCCGAAAAUAUUCAUAGAAUUUUUAUAGUAAAAGAUAGAAAGACUCGAUUCUGACCAAUGAAUUCAAUGUAGUCCAUUUAAGUCAGAUUAUAUAUCCCCUUAGUAUGACACUAGUUUUUAAGUUAGAUUAUAUAUCCUCUUAGUAUCACACUAAUUUACUGCUAGCAUCAAGACAACCUAAACAAUUACGAAUUUAGAAAUCUUGAAUGGCAAUAUGCUAUCAUGGUAUGUGCACAAUGGACCCUAUUAAACAGAAAAAAAAAAAUUUGUAUGCACAACGUGAUAUACAAAUACUGAAGUUAAAUAAGAAUAAAAGUAAAACAAUUCGAUCUCACAAUCCUAAAGUUGAAACUUUAAUUAAAUCUCUAACUAGAAAAGAGUUUUUUAGCUGCUCAUGUUGAGCAUGAUAUAAUAGAAAAUUGUCUCGAAAAUAACUGAGAAAAAGAUAGAAAGAAUGGUGGAAGAAGACGGAGUCUCCUUCUCAUUUUUCUGUCUGUCGUCAACCUCUUUUUCUUUUUCUAUUUAAAUGAUCAAGUUAUGGGCAGCUAAGGUUUUUUUUCUCCUUUGAUCUCAACCUCUUUCCAAGUUUAAAAGACUUAUUUUUAUUUUUUUUCCUAUUUUUUCUCCUUUUUUUUUUGUUUUGACAGAUUCUAAAAAAUCUAGAUCUGAUAUCGUGCUAGGGUGUAAGUCUUGCCCAAGGCUUACAUGUGCACGAUUUGAUGUUUGCUGCUGCUUCUCGGUGUAAACCUUGCCUAAGGCUUAGUCACAUACUUACUGCUGUCUUUAUACAAACCCAAUUCUAUUGCGCUGUUUUUCUAAAUCUUUAAACCUGUAUUAAAAUAAACAAAAUCACUUAAAUUAGGCAAUAAGUGACUCAAAUAUGCAUUUAAUUUAAGUAAUAAAAAUGAGAUUUAUACACACUAUCAAACUCUCCCACACUUAUCUUAUGCUUGCCUUCAAGCAUCACAUAAUACAAAUCUCUAACUCUCAACCCUUCACUUUCAACCCAACUAUUUCCAAUCAUUGCAUGACAACUCACUUGUUACAUCUCAAUCAUCGUGUUGUAAGAAUAACCAUCAACUAAUAGUUUAUAGGUUUGAGUUUCAUGGAAUCACACUGAUGAAUAACUACUUUGACAAUAUCUAAACCCAGAAUGAAAGAUUCUUGCAAUUUUUGAACACAUUUAUUUUUAUUGAGAGGAACAACCAAUAUUUAGCAGAACAACCACCAAAACUAUCUAGAUAUAAGGAUUUCAUGCAAUUUGUUCAUGCUAAAGAUAAAAAAUCUAUUUGUAGCUAACUUGAGCACUUUAUUGCUUGCUUGAAAUGUGAUUAACUUUUUGACACGAGGGCAAAUAUUUGUGAUGAAUGCACCUGGUUACUUAGUUGGUCAUAAUUUCAAGUGGCUACUAGUACUACUCAUAGUCAAUUAACCAAAAAUGUUACUAAUCUUUUGACGCGAGGGCAAAAUUUUGUGAUGAAUGCACCCGAUCACUCAGUUGGUCACAAUUUUAUUUGGGUAAAGGAGUAGAUUAUUAUUUGUGCUUUUUGUUUUUUUCUUAUUUUUAUAUUUCUCAAUCUUAACAUGAACCAUAAAAUUCUAGACACAUAAAUUCGGACAAGUUGUAGUAGAGUUUUUUCUAAGCAUUAAUAUUCACUCAAUGAUAAGACAAAAUUAAUUUUUUUAGCAAUUCCUAAACAAGUCAAGUUUAAGAUACAUAAUAAAAAAUAACUAUUCAUGAUGUGAAAAGAUGAAAAACAAGCUAAGAAUUCCUAGAGGAUGAACGUAAUUAUAAUUUACUUUUUAAAAUAUCACAAUUAAUUUAUUUUGAGAAUAAUUGAGAUAGUUAUGAAAAAGUUGAGGCUAAGAGUUGUUGAAAGUGUAUUUGUGGUGUGCAUCAACGAGUGUCAUAAAAAAAAUUGAAUGCAACCUAUGCAGUGGCAGCAAAAUCUUAAAGGGAAACCUAAAAUGCAGUAUGUCCCUUCCCCACACUUAAACCACACAUUGUUUCCAAUGUGUUAUAAAUAAUGAGCAAAAUAAAAAACGAAGGGACAUGUGAACUCCCUUCGUUACUUGACCUGGAGAUAGGGCAAAACCAGAAGUUGGAAUUUUUUCUUGGGUUUUGAAGCAACCCUUAAAGUUAUCAUGACUUCUUGAGUUAAUUCCUCGCAUGCGACUUGUGGUUCGGCUUCCAUUGGAGGUGAUUAUAUUUGUUCUUCUACCUCAUUAGCCAGUCGUGCCCAUUUGUUUUUGAAUCGGCCAUACCUGGGGAAAACUCUCUUCUUUCUCAUUUGGUUUGCUUUGCUGUGUUUUGGAGUGGAAGAGAUUUAGGUUGGUGGAGGUUAUAAGCAGGGAGAAGGAAGGGUGAAGCCAAUUUUCUAUGAGAGGGAAGUGGGUGUUGGGGCCGAAUGAAUAGAGUUAAGGCAACUUGGUCUCUUUAGGUGUUAGGGAAAAAUAAAUAAAUAGGGCGGCUAAGUGGCCUUGACAUAAGUCUUAAGCAAGACUUAUACAAACAUCUCAAAUUAAAACCCAUAAAUUCUGUGAGUGCCUUGUUCUUUAAAAAGUUACAAGUGGUCAGAAAAACAUCCAGUUAAGGAAAAU